rnacentral:tRNA from 1 species
UGUGGGAUAGAGCAGUGGUAGCUCGAAAGCCUCAUAAGCUUUAGGUCGUGGGUUCGACUCCCACUCCCGCAACCA